GGAGGCAUAGCUCAGUUGGUCAGAGCGCAUGCUUGACAUGCAUGAGGUCGGUGGUUCGAGCCCACUUGUCUCCACCA
rnacentral:tRNA from 2 species